rnacentral:piRNA from 1 species
CGUACCUGUGCAGCUGUUUUGUU